rnacentral:lncRNA from 1 species
GGCUACAAGAUCAUCUACCAUCCCGAUAGAGGGAAUGUAGUUGCAGAUGCGCUAAGCCGAAAGGAGUCCGCUAUGUUGGCCCAAACUAUGGGCUCCAGUUGGAAACUAGUUGACACUAUACAGGCACUCUACCUCAACCAUUAUGGCAAUGGUGCCUAUCUCGCUCAUAUCUAAGCUUUGCCUGAUCUUUUUAUGAACAUUUGGGAAGCUUAAUCCACAGACCAAGAAAUCACCAAAAAUUUGAGUAAGUCCACUUCUGAUGAGUUUCCUAAUUUUAAGCUUACUGAUGAUGGGUUGUGCAGAUUUUGGGACUGUAUU